rnacentral:rRNA from 1 species
AAUGAACGUUGGCGGCAUGGAUUAGGCAUGCAAGUCGAGCGAGAAGAGUUUUGAAGCUUGCUUUAGAACUCGGACAGCGGCGAAAGGGAGAGUAACGCAUAGUUAUGUGCCCUAGGGUCCGGAAUAGCCACGGGAAACUGUGGGUAAUGCCGGAUAAUAUCCCCGGAUCAACGGUGUGAUUCCGCCCUAGGAGCAGACUGCGUCCUACUAGCUAGUUGGUGGGGUAAUGGCCUACCAAGGCAAUGAUGGGUAGCGGGUGUGAGAGCAUGACCCGUCUCACUGGGACUGAGACACUGCCCAGACACCUACGGGUGGCUGCAGUCGAGAAUCUUCGGCAAUGGGCGAAAGCCUGACCGAGCGAUGCCGCGUGCGGGAUGAAGGCCCUCGGGUUGUAAACCGCUGUCGUAGGGGAGGAAGGUUCCGUGAAGAGCGGAAUUUGACCUAUCCUAGGAGGAAGUACGGGCUAAGUUCGUGCCAGCCGCCGCGGUAACAC